rnacentral:rRNA from 1 species
GCAGCCGAGCGGUAGAAGUCCUUCGGAACUUUGAGAGCGGCGCACGGGUGCGGAACACGUGUGCAACCUGCCUUUAUCUGGGGGAUAGCCUUUCGAAAGGAAGAUUAAUACCCCAUAAUAUAUUGAGUGGCAUCACUUGAUAUUGAAAACUCCGGUGGAUAGAGAUGGGCACGCGCAAGAUUAGAUAGUUGGUGAGGUAACGGCUCACCAAGUCCAUGAUCUUUAGGGGGCCUGAGAGGGUGAUCCCCCACACUGGUACUGAGACACGGACCAGACUCCUACGGGAGGCAGCAGUGAGGAAUAUUGGACAAUGGGUGAGAGCCUGAUCCAGCCAUCCCGCGUGAAGGACGACGGCCCUAUGGGUUGUAAACUUCUUUUGUAUAGGGAUAAACCAUUCUACGUGUAGAAUGCUGAAGGUACUAUACGAAUAAGCACCGGCUAACUCCGUGCCAGCAGCCGCGGUAAUACGGAGGGUGCAAGCGUUAUCCGGAUUUAUUGGGUUUAAAGGGUCCGUAGGCGGAUCUGUAAGUCAGUGGUGAAAUCUCAUAGCUUAACUAUGAAACUGCCAUUGAUACUGCAGGUCUUGAGUAAGGUAGAAGUGGCUGGAAUAAGUAGUGUAGCGGUGAAAUGCAUAGAUAUUACUUAGAACACCAAUUGCGAAGGCAGGUCACUAUGUCUUAACUGACGCUGAUGGACGAAAGCGUGGGGAGCGAACAGGAUUAGAUACCCUGGUAGUCCACGCCGUAAACGAUGCUAACUCGUUUUUGGGUUUUCGGAUUCAGAGACUAAGCGAAAGUGAUAAGUUAGCCACCUGGGGAGUACGAACGCAAGUUUGAAACUCAAAGGAAUUGACGGGGGCCCGCACAAGCGGUGGAUUUAUGUGGUUUAAUUCGAUGAUACGCGAGGAACCUUACCAAGGCUUAAAUGGGAAUUGAUCGGUUUAGAAAUAGACCUUCCUUCGGGCAAUUUUCAAGUGCUGCAUGGGUGUCGUCAGCUCGUGCCGUGAAGGUGUUAGGUAAGUCCUGCAACGAGCGCAACCCCUGUCACUAGUUGCCAUCAUUCAGUUGGGGACUCUAGUGAGACU